UUGUUUUAUAGCAGAAACCAACACUGCAUUGUAAAGCAAUUGUCCUCCAUUUAAAAAGAGAGACCCGAGUGGUCCAAAACAGGAGGCGAGGGUGGAUGUGAAAAGACAGUUUUAAAGACCAACUCUUGAAAAUAAGGGGGCUCUCAAGAACAAAACAUUCCUCCUAAAUGUGAUGGAGUUUUUGAACCAGAGGUCAGUGGAUGGUUUGACAACCACAAGAUAUGUGUGGAAUCCUAAAUUGAACACUGAACACGGAAAAUGAAUUAAUCGAAAUCCUCAAAGAGAAUAGCUCAUUCAUCUCAAUGCUUCCCUCCAUCAAAAACAAGCUGAUGAAAGAUAAAGUUCGGCACUGGUGAAAGGAUUUGCUAAAGCCAAACUAGAGAGAAUAGUUGAACUGACAAGAGGCAUUUAGGUUGGUAAAUAGAAUGUGAAGAUGGGCAGGGAAGAGAGAUUUUUUUUUCUAAGUCUGAUGGCCAUUAUUUUACUCUUUAAUUAUCCCAUAGGUAUCUGGCAUACAUACAGUUUGAGUGAGAAAAUUCCAAUAGAAAAUAUAGAAGCAACAAGAAAAGUUAACGCUGACAGCUUUAUCCUUUGAAGUUUAAAUCUGAGCCAUCAGCAAUUCACAGUCAUCGCCCUGACCAAUGACUGAUUCCUUUUUUCCGAGCCUUGUCCUUUUGACACCAGUGGCACAAACACGACUUUUAACCCAGUUACAGUAGCUCUCUAGAUGCCAUUUUCCAUCCUUGUACAGAGGGAAUGCUUGCUGAAAGCUGACACUUCACCUCCCCGAAGACCGAACAACGUUUGUGGUCUUCGGGCACCCUCGUCCCCCGAGACUCUCUCCCUUGUCACUGAGUUGUCAGGACCUGUCCUCUGCUGACGUUUGGACUGCCAACCUCUCCGGAUCAGCACAGACCAAAGCAAAUUGGUGCUAAGGAGCUCUCCUGGCUCUCAGAUUUAAAAAGUGCCCAGUACCCAAUUAAAAGUCCCUCCCUAGAGGACCUUGCCCUUGCCCUGUCCUCCCAGGAGCCCACCUUUCGGUCAGUCCUGGGGGUUACCAACCCCCUCUCAAUGCUCAAUAUUGUUCUGAAAACGCCCCAUGUGAAUGAACAGAUGGAAAGGGUAAGUUUUAUUUAUCUAUUUUUUAAGUCAGUACUUUGUAGAAAGCACUUUGGGGGGAAAACAGAUCAUUUCUUUUUAUAACCUGGUCUAGCAGCAGGUUCCCUUAUUGCCACACAUCAGCAUAUCAUUACAGAAUUCAGAAGUGACUGCAUUCUCUUUGCUGUCUUCUGUGAACAUGAUGGACAUCCCCGGCUGCAGGACUGGCAAUGACAUUGGCCUCGCAGGCUCUGGUUCUGAACAGCUGUGAUGCUGGAAAGUCUCUCCUUCCUGGUAUCUCCGAAUCUGAGCUUCUAGGAUUCCACCCCUGUCUUCCCGGUGAUGAGAAGAGGACAAGCUCCAUGUCCCUCUGCAACGUGGCAUCUUUAGCUUAGAGCACAGAACCCUUCCUUACAAGCUCAUUAUUCUGGCCCUGACUCAGUUUUUCCUCCUCUGGGACACUUAUCUAAAAUGGUCUCCUCCAGCUCCAAGCCCUGAUCAGAAGCGUCAUUCCCGAUUUUCUUAGCAUUUGUCUUGCUGCCGAAGCUGUUUAUUCUUAUAUAUUUAUUUGUUCACUUAUUUACUUUCUGUCUCCUUUCAGCAGAAUGUAAUUUCCAUAGGUGUAGAGACUUUAUCUGCUUGUUCACCACUGUAACCACAAUGUUUAGAGUAAUGUCUGGCACACAGUAAAUACUUAACAUAUAUUUCCUGAAUAAAGGGA